rnacentral:lncRNA from 1 species
GUGUUUCAGCCUCAGUGCCAAUUUAUAAUGGUGACAUGAAAAAAUACUGCUGGAUUUGCAGUAUAAAAUAAUGACAAAAGGUUUACUUAGCUGUUAAUAUAAUUUAUGUAUAUUUCAAAAUAACAAAGAUAAAUGUACAUAUCAUCUUAAAUGCUUUAAGAUGCUAAGUGCUUAUUUCAAGGUAGAAGAAUAAAGCUUUUCAUUUCUAAUUUAUAUUUUUUUCUACAACAGCCAGGUUUUCUGGACGUGUUCUUGAAUUCUUGGACAUCUGAAUUUCAGCAGACAUUGGAUUCAGGCAUCUAAGGGGCAGCCUUGGGCACACUUUGUGCACUUGAAAUAAUGCUUAUAGGGAAAAAAGCAGAAGAGAGAAAUGUGUUAUAAAAAUUCCAUGGGUACACAUGAAUAAAGCAAGUUCUUAGAGACCUAUGAAGAGACUUUAAUUCUGACACAACAGUAGGAGACUACAACACCCCACAGAAACUAUUAGACAGAUCCUUGAGACAGAAAAUAAACAAAGAUAACAGUAUGUAAACUUGACACUUGACCAAAUAGUCCUAAUAGAUAUCUACAGAACUCUAUGUAAAAACAACAUAAUAUACAUUAUUCUAAUCACCAUGUGAAACAAACUCUAACAUUUACCACACAAUUAGAAAUAAAACAAUACUCAGCAAAUACAAAAAUCCCUACAUUAUACCAACCACACAUGGAGACAACAGAUUGUUGAAAAUAUAAUUCAACUACAAAGAGAACCACUUGAAAACAUACAAUUAUAUGAAAAUUAAACAACCCGCAUUUAAAUGACUUUUGGGCAAAUAAUGAAAUUAAGACAGAAAUCAAGAAGUUGUUUGAAACAACUGAGAAUAAAGAUACAGCAUACCAGAAUUGCUGCAACACAGCUAAGGCAGUGGUAAGAAGGAAAUUUAUAACACUAAAUGCUCACAUCAAAAUGUUAGAAAGAUCUUAGUGACCUAAUAUCACAAAAUAAAGUAUGAGAAGCAAGAGCAAACCAAUUCUAAGCUAGCAGAACGUAAAAAAUAACCAAAAGCACCUCUGAACUGAAGGAGACUUAGACAUGUAAAACUAUACAAAAGAUCAAGAAAUCCAGGAGUUAAAUCUUUGAAAAAAAAUUGAUAAGAUAUACUACUGACUAGAUUAAUGAAGAAACAAGAGCCAAAUAAACACAAUUAGAAAUGACAAAGGGACAUUAUUACUGACCCCACAAAAAUACAAAUAACUACUGAAGUCUACUAUGCACAUCUCUAUGCACACAAACAAGAAAAUCUAAUAGUAAUAAAUAAAGUCCUAGACAAAUACAUCCUGCCAAGACUGAACACAAAUAUAUCCUGCCAAGACUCCACACAAAAGAAAACGAAGCCCUGAAUAGACAAAUAACAAGCUCCAAAAUUGGAUUAGUAAUAUAUAGCCUACCAUCCAAAAAGUUCUGAGGACCAGAGAAAUUUGCAGCUGAAAUCUGUAAGAUGAACAAAGAGCUAGUACCAUUUCUGCUAAAAGUAUUCCAAAAAAAAUGAGAAGGAAAUCUUCCCCACCUCAUUAUACUAGAACAGAAUCAUUCUGAUACUAAAACCCAGCAAAGAUAAAAUGGAAAAAGAAAACUUCAGGUAAGCCGGGCGCAGUGGCUGGCCAGGAGUGGAGGCUCACACC